rnacentral:rRNA from 1 species
GGGUUGUGAGGUUAAGCGACUAAGCGUACACGGUGGAUGCCCUGGCAGUCAGAGGCGAUGAAGGACGUGCUAAUCUGCGAUAAGCGUCGGUAAGGUGAUAUGAACCGUUAUAACCGGCGAUUUCCGAAUGGGGAAACCCAGUGUGAUUCGUCACACUAUCAUUAACUGAAUCCAUAGGUUAAUGAGGCGAACCGGGGGAACUGAAACAUCUAAGUACCCCGAGGAAAAGAAAUCAACCGAGAUUCCCCCAGUAGCGGCGAGCGAACGGGGAGGAGCCCAGAGCCUGAAUCAGUGUGUGUGUUAGUGGAAGCGUCUGGAAAGGCGCGCGAUACAGGGUGACAGCCCCGUACACAAAAA